UACGUAGGGGGCAAGCGUUAUCCGGAUUUAUUGGGUUUAAAGGGUGCGUAGGCGGGCUUUUAAGUCAGCGGUAAAAAUUCGGGGCUCAACCCCGUCCGGCCGUUGAAACUGGGGGUCUUGAGUGGGCGAGAAGAAGGCGGAAUGCGUGGUGUAGCGGUGAAAUGCAUAGAUAUCACGCAGAACCCCGAUUGCGAAGGCAGCCUUCCGGCGCCCUACUGACGCUGAGGCACGAAAGUGCGGGGAUCGAACAGG
rnacentral:rRNA from 1 species